UGCGUAGGUGGUUCCUUAAGUCAGAGGUGAAAGGCUACGGCUCAACCGUAGUAAGCCUUUGAAACUGGGAAACUUGAGUGCAGGAGAGGAGAGUGGAAUUCCUAGUGUAGCGGUGAAAUGCGUAGAUAUUAGGAGGAACACCAGUUGCGAAGGCGGCUCUCUGGACUGUAACUGACACUGAGGCACGAAAGCGUGGGGAGCAAACA
rnacentral:rRNA from 1 species